CUGGCCUAACCCGGUCACACCUUCACGUGCCGCCCAAAACCCCAUUUAAGAAAAAAAAACACAGAAAGGAACAGUUCACAGUCCCAUAGUCUGCACUCUGCAGUCACUUCGGUGUUAAGAAGAACCCACAACCAGGGAAAAAAAAAAAUCCUUCAUGAUUUCUUAGGAGUUAGGGCUGCUUCAGUGGGAUUUCUUUCCCUUUUUAUUUUUUCUUUUCACAAUCUCUGCAACAUGCAUUUGCCAGUGGAAAAAGGCCAGAAUCCCCUGAAACGCAGCUUCUCUGAAAUCACUGAUGAUCAUGGUAUCAGACACAAGUGUAUGAGGUUGCUAGGAGGAGGAACACAAUAGCUGUGAUGGAGACAGGUUCUGGGAAGACAAUGAUGGCUGUGAUGCUCAUUGAUGAAAUUGGUCAAGCUAUCAAAUCAUCUGGUGACAACAAAUUGACCACACCAGUUUUGAAGUGGAGGAGUAUUAUGGAGCCAAGGGGGUUGAUGCAUGGGAUAAGGAGCAUUAGGAAAAGGAAUUUUAAACCCAUGAUGUACUGGUUAUGACACCCCAGAUUCUUUUGGAUGCCUUAAGAAAGGCAUUCUUGACCAUAGAAGCAGUAUGCUUGAUGAUUAUGGAUGAGUGCCAUCGGGCUACCAGAAACCACCCUUAUACAAAGAUAAUGAAGGUUGAUUUCGUUGCUGUAUUCCUCCCAUUUCUUUGUUGUGAUUUGUUACAAAAUAUGCAUAGUUAUAUCAUUUGUAGUCGACCAACUUGACAAUAUUUUGUCUUCCCUCUUGUUUCAAUGUAGUACUAUGUUUUUUGUUUAUAUAAAGGCUUGCUCUUUACAUGUC